GCCGAGCGAGGAGGUCGCCGCGAACGCCACGCUGCACGCAAUGGCGCGCUGGCGGUGGCGGUCCUGCCCAAGGAGUGCAGCCGGAGCCCCGCGUCGUGCAUGGUCUCUCUGAAUCACCGGACGCUGAACGGGCGGAGCGGCUGCCUGCGCGUUCAUGGGGUUACAUUGCAUACCCGGCAAGCGGCCGUCCAUGGCGCCGCUGAUCCAGCAGUCGCAGCCGGCGUCUGUGCCAGGUAUACUACUUGAACUACUUGAACUACGGAGUACUUGAACAUGACCCCCCCUUCACAUUAUUUCUCUCAUUUUAGCUCGCCUAUUACGAAAAGCAUCACAAUAUUCACUUUCUGAACCCCGCUAGUUUACUUGCAGCUCGUGAUGGACACACUUGUUGCCUUCUUUGGCUCAACGUCGACGAGGAUCACAAGAGAUGGUAACUGGUAACCUCCCAAGGUACCUACCACCACCCUAGGUUGUCCAUACAGCUUAAAAUUAUAUACUCCGUAGUACAUUUUAUGCUACACUGUACACAAAAUGCUAGGCAUUGGAAAUGUCAUGUUCCAUCUUUUAGCUGCAAGAUAUCACACCCAUGGAACCUUUUUUAUACAUUCAUUAAGGCGCCUGCAGUUUCAUAGUAAUAUAUCUAGAUUGCCCAAGGCAACUGUAAACUAUAGUAUCUCAAAUUGAUGAGUCCAACUUGAUUGCGUUGCCCAAAUCUUUGUAUUAUGUUGCGCUGGGGCGAAGUUCUACAAGUGAAGCAUAGGCUCCACCAGCGAUGCCCAUCAGUGUUUCAUGCCUCCCUUUCUCCACAAUUGUGCCGUCCUUCAGGACUGCAAUUAUAUCAGCUCCUUGGAUCGUCGAGAGGCGGUGUGCCACGAUGACAGUUGUCCUGCCAACCAUCAUGCGAUCCAAUGCAUCUUGAACAAUGCACUCUGACUCGGCAUCUAACGCACUAGUUGCCUCAUCCAGAAGAAGUACCCUCGGGUCCUUGAGAAUAGCUCUGGCGAUAGCUAUACGCUGUUUUUGCCCGCCUGAUAGUUGGGUUCCUCUGUCUCCAACAUUCGUGUUGUAACCCUGUGGCAUGCUUGAUAUGAAUUCAUGGGCAUUGGCCGCUUUAGCAGCCACGACAAUCUCAUCCUCAGUUAUCUCUCCAUGCUUUCCAUAUGCUAUGUUGGCAUGUAUUGUGUCAUUGAAAAGUAGUGGUUCUUGGCUUACCAAUCCCAUCUGGUCCCUCAACCAACUGAGCUUUAAGGUUUUGAUGUCCACUCCAUCGAAUAAGAUUACACCAGAUUCAAGAUCAUAGAAACGCUCUAGUAAAGCAAUUGCUGUAGAUUUGCCGCUGCCACUUUCACCAACCAGUGCAACAGUCUGCAAUAAACAGGUUGCUAAGUAAGUCCUUGGAAACAACUACGGAAGCACAGCAGAUUGGACCCUCAGAAUAACUGAGAGAAGAUGAGAAAAUUAGGGUUCUGGUUUAAUUAAGACCUUUCCAGAAGGAAUGCUCAAGGUAAAGUCACUGAAUAUUUGAACAUCCGGACGGGAUGGGUAUUUGAAGCUGAUAUGCAUAAAAUCAAUGUCACCCUUAACAAGAUCCAUAGUUGAACCUUCAAUGCUGCUGGAGUCAAUUUGUGAUUUUCUAUCUAAGAUUGUGAAUAUGGAAGUUGCAGAAUCAUUUGCCUUGGUUGAACAGGAAGCCAUAGUACUAGUUUGUGUUGCUCCAAUCAUGGCCACAGCUAAAGCAAAGAAAGCCUGCAUUACAAUAUUUUGAAGCAGAUAUAAAGAUAGAAUGUUCAUGAAGAAUCUUUUGGUGUUGUUGAAAUGAUUCGUACUGAUUACCUUGUAGACGUUGCCAAAAUUGGAAUUGCCCUGACUAACAAACUUGGCACCAACAUAGUAACAAAGAGCACAGGUGGAAUACAGCACCAUAUAUGAGAAGCCAAAACCAAGGCCUCCAACUAUUCCAGUUCGAAUUCCCUGAUUCUUAGAAGCUCGACACUUUUUAAUGUAUUUUGUCAUCACUCUCUUCUCAGCACAAAAAGACGAUACUGUUCUGAUGUUACUAACUGCUUCAGUUGCAACCUGACUUGCUUCUUCAUACAUGGUCUAUGAUCACAUAUCAACCAUAAAAAACAUAAAUUACAAUUGGCACCCAUGUGCAUUAAAAGACAACACUGGUUACAGCAUUGUAGCAGAGGCACUGUUAAUGAAAUGUGCUAACUUAUCCACAUUUUUUCAGCAUGAGGUCCGUAUUCAGUAUACCUAUCGAGCUUUUGCGCUUUAGGAAGGACAAAAGAAAGCAAAACUAAUACUAAAUAAAAAGUUCAUAACAUAAAGCUAGUUCAUGGCUCACCUUAGUAUCUUGACUAAACCCUUGUAAGAACUUUACUUGAGCAUAACCCUCGAGACCUAUUAGAGGAAUCACAAUUAAGAUGACCAGUGAAAGCUUCCAGUCUGCGCUCAUUGCUAUUACUAUUCCACAAAGAAGCGUUGAAGUACAUUGGACCAUCAAGGCCAAGUUACCCCCAACAAGACGCCUCACAUUAAGGGCAUCAACACAUAGCCUUCCACCUAGUGCUCCACUGCAAGAGGUGAAAGAGACAGUUAGUAUCUUGACUGUUCCAUUUUCGUGAAUAGAUCAAGAUAGCUCACCUAUUAUUUGCAGGAUGAUCAAACCAAGCAGCCUCUUGGUACACUAUGUUUUGAAAUGUCAAAACACGUAUUCUUUCUAUAAGUUUCCCACCAGCUAUUGCAAAUAGAAAGCUAUUUGCUAGCUUUGAUAUCAUACUCAUCGCACCCAACCCAACACAGAGCAAUCCCCAAAAGGUAGAAUCUUUCUGUCGCUUGUCUGCUGGUAAUUCAUAAAAUGUUUUAGCACUGGUAGCCAUUACAUAACCAAUCAUUGGGUAGACAGUUCCGUCAAUUGCAGCCGCAAGAGAACCAAAUAUAAGAAAUGCCAUUUCUGGUUUGUUUAGGCUAAUUAGGCGGCCCAUCGGGCCCUUCUUGGAGACCUUGCCAUUAGUGUUAUCGCUAUCAGCACCAUCAUAAUCUUGUAAUCCAGUAGGCCCAUGCAAGCUGUCUGGAGGGCUUAAAGAAUGAUGACUGGUCCCAGCUGCACUUCUGCUAGUUGAUCGUUUGAGUGAUUGACUUCUUUUAGAUAAUGAACCUGGUAAUCCAGCAUCUAAGUGGUCGCCAGUGUCUUGGUGUGCCUCUUGUAGCCGAAUAAGCUGAGAGUAUGCCCCACUAGGAUCCUUUACCAAUUUAUCAUGAUGUCCUAAAUGAACCACUUCAGUUUUAUUACUCUAUUUUGGCACAAACACAACGGAAAGAUCGAGCAGGGAGACACUAACCUUGUUCGAUUAGUUUUCCUUCAGAAACAACUGAGAUGCAGUGAGCAUUCCUAACUGUGCUCAAACGGUGCGCCACGAUAACCGUGGUCCUCCCAACCAUGAUCUUGUUUAGCGCUUCUUGGAGUACUCUCUCAGACUCUGAAUCCAAAGCACUAGUUGCUUCAUCGAGCAAAAGGAUUUUCGGAUCUUUUAGGAUUGCUCUUGCGACUGCGAUCCUUUGCUUCUGCCCCCCCGAAAGCUGAGCACCAUGUUCUCCAACUGCUGUGUCAUAACCCUGAAAUCAUAUGAAGGAGUCAUUAGGUUUAUGUUUGUAUAUGCAUGAUGGGUUAUUAUUGAACAGAUUGUGUUUAAUUUAAGUACAUUAGGCAAAUUCUCAAUGAAUCUUGCCGCGUUGGCAAGCUCAGCUGCUCUCUUGAUUUCUUCAAGUGUUGCAUCCUCUUUUCCGUAGGUUAUGUUCUCCUUGAUAGAUGUCAUGAAUAGCAUUGGUUCCUGGUUAACAAGGCCAAUCUUCCCUCUAAUCCAGUCUAGUUUAAAACUCUUGAUGUUCAUUCCAUCAAUCAACACUUCGCCAGCCCGUGGAUCAUAAAAUCUCUCAACCAGAUUGAUCACAGUUGAUUUGCCACUCCCACUCUCACCAACUAUGGCCAUUGUUGUGCCAGUUGAAACAUGCAUUGAAAAUCCAGCGAAUAUUAGUUGCUCUGGCCUGCUUGGAUAGCUGAAAAACACAUCCCUCAGCUCUAUAUCACCCUUGAUGUCUUCUAACACAACACUGGUAGUAUCAUCAUAGUCGAUCUUUGGUUUCCUAUUGAUUGUUGUAAACAACCUGUACGCCGCAACUCUCCCUUCCUCAAAGGCAGCAAUGCAGGGGGUUGCAUCACCCAAUGAUCUACCCCCAGACAGUUGAAAAGUUGCAUGUUAGAGCAGACAUACUAUCUUAAUAUUGUAUUGGUGGAAGUAUUAUUACUUGUGUCAGAACUAGCUACUUGUAUUUAUUUAUUUUUUAAAGGAGAGAGGCAGAUAUUGGUGGCAACUCAAGAAUCUGUUACAAAUCACAAGAGUCACAAGACAUGACUACGUGGCUACACCUCUAUGUCCUACUAAAACUAACAAGGAUUAGCAAAUGUUUUAAAUUACUAUACAUGUCUAUCUAUUGGUUGAAUUUAAUUAGUAAGCUGUUUUUUUUUGCGUUAAUACUAACCUUGCUGCUAUCAUGACGCAGAACAAUAUACUCAUGAUAUCUGCUCCACUAUAUCCUCCGCUGAGGGUUAACUUACUUCCAUACCAUAGAAUUAAUCCAAUGCCUGAGAAAGUGGCGAAGGUAAGGAAACCCAUGCCAAAACCUUGGAUAGUCCCUUCCUUGACCGUACCCUUGUAUGCCUUCUUUAUGUAAUUGUUGUAUAAGGUCAUGGCUUUCUUUUCACCAUUGAAUGAAGCCACCUGUUAUAAUAUGAAUACAUGUUAGUUGAGAAUUUGUCAUUCUUGAUUGCAGCAUCGACACCGGGCGUACCGUUUUUA
rnacentral:lncRNA from 1 species